ensembl:lncRNA
AUGCCCACCGGCUCCGGGCUGUGCUGCGGGGACGUGCAUUCUCCUCCUCCUCAUCUUCCUCCUCCUCCUCCUCCUGCCCGUCCCGGCCCCAACUUUCCUCGCGGAGCAGCGCGUAGGGGCCGCGGACGCUCCGCGCUGCCGGGCAAACUUGGAGGCUCGGCGGCGGAGUUUGGAGAGAGGAAGCGGGAGGAGGAAGAGAAGGAGGAGAAGAAGGAGAAGGAGAAGGAGGAGAAGGAGGAGGAGGAGGAGGAAGGGGCGCGGCGCCGCUCCGCGGGCGCACUGCUGCGCGGGGGCGGCAGAGCAGAGCAGAGCAGGGCAGGGCGCAGUGGCAGGACAGGCGGACAGGAGGACAGGCGGACAAGCAGGACAGGAGGACAAGCAGGACAGGAGGACAAGCAGACAGGAGGACAAGCAGACAGGAGGACGAGGAGUGCCGGUGCUUUCAGUCUUUUCGGUGUCGGCGUCCGCGGGUGCCGCCGAGGAGCUCCGGCAAUGAUGUCCCUGCUCCAUACGUCCGUCCGACUUCGCACGCGCUUGAAAGGCUGACCGACCUGAAUGCGGUGCUGGCAGCAUGGGGCGGGCAGCGAGGCUUCGUUUCACCACCACAUCGGCUGUGCCUGCAUGGUUCCUCCUGGGCAGGGUGCCCUGAAGUGUUCCCCAGGGAAAAGAGACCAAAGCAACGUCCAGGAGGUGGGUCUGCAGCUCGGUGUACGUGGUGUCACCGGUACGGCAGCUGUGACGCUGGUUGGGAAAGCUUUGGCUCGGUAGGAACUGACUUGAGGGGUGCAAUUUACAGCCAGGGUCUGCAGAAAUGAGCCUGUGAGAAGCUCGGCGGGAAGGUGAAAGCAUUCUUGCUGUUGGGGGAAAAGGAGAAAUAGGCUCAGCCGCUCACUGCAGCCUUUCUGGAGCACGGUGCAGCUUCUCCUGCCUCCUUCUCCUACAGGAAACUUCCACCCUCUCUUAUGCCGACCGUGCUUGCCAAUGUACACAAGCUUUGCCCCUGUGGGCCUGAUUUUUAUGCUGUGCGGUAGUUUGAGGGUAAAGGUUAACCCUCACUCCACCAUAGACUUAUUAUUAUUUUAAACUCUCAUAUGAACCAGAGAGAAGCUGUUCAACCCUGGCUUGCUGCAAGUUAGAAGUGAGUAAACUCUAUUUACCUGUGUUGGUUUUUCCUUUUUUUUUUUUUUUUUUCUCCAUUUUUAAAUCCUCUUUGACUCCUGCCUUUAAGUUCUUGAAAAAACAUGGAUAUGGCCACCUCUUACAAUUAGAGAGCUUAAAUACUCACCUUGCAGAUGAUGAGGGCUUGAGAGCUUUCUCAGCUGACCAUCCCUGGGCUUUCCGAACACCUCUGUGUCCUAGCAGGGCUGCAGGACAGAGUAGUUUGGGACAUACCAAGGGAUUUGGUGAGAGGUUUUUCUUUUUAGGCACUCACCAGAGCUGCUUCCAGCAAAAGUUACUCUGAAGUAAUUGUGGCUGGUGGGGGAGGCAGAGGAGCUGGGCUCACUUCUCCCUUGGGGGGCCAUCUCCUUGCACCACCUUGCAGCAGCCGCUUGCCUCUUUUACUGGCUGAAGAGCAGAGACCAGACUUCCCUUACCAUGACUUAUUUCUGGGACAUAAACAUGCAGGAAAUUAUGUCAGGUGUUCUACUGCAAUUAUGAGGAUCACCUACAUGUUGACUGCAGUGAGAAAGGAGCACUUGGCCUUUUCUAAGGAACAUUUACAGAGUUAGGACCGGGGACAGAGAGAUGAUCAAAGUAACUUACUGUCAGCGCAGCAGGUUCUGUAAGGAAGCACAAAUCUAUGUAUCCCACGCAAUAAAGUGUCCCAAUGUUUAGUGCUGGCAUGACAAAAUCAUUGCCAGACGGGGCGAAGUCAGAGGUGAUAACCAGAGCUGCUAAAUCUUUUCUGAAUCUAUAUUUCCCAUCUGCCCAGACAUUGUCGUUUCUCUUCCAGAAGCACAAACAAAAUGGGCAGCGUUAAACUGUGGAUUUUAUUGUUAUUGUUGUUCCUUGGGCACCACGUUGUUUUAAAUCUUCAGGGUCUUAAAACCGGCAGGCUUACUGUUUAAAUGGCUUGGGUCAAAAAGUAAUGGGGUAUUAUUCCACGUCCUGAACCUCAGAAAUAGAGGUCCAUAAAACAGCUCAGAAGUAAUUGGGAAAAGCAGGAGUUUCUUAGUUCUGUGGUUGUCAGUCACUCAGAGGAAAUCUGUGUACGACAUCAGGCAGGUCAAAACGGGAAGGAUGUGGGGAAGGAUGCUGGCAGUGGGCACUGCUGCCUGGUGCAGGGGCAUAGCCUGAGGUGCCAGGCUGUUCUUACUGGGGCUCCAGCACGAGGAUGUAUGGGUCAGAAAAACGGGUGGAAAAACAAGCAAACCGGAUAGAUCAACUGGUCUAGAUUUGAUGCCAGUAUAAAGCAUUCCUACAGGAGCUCCGAGAUCCCUAUCAUAGAUGAAUCUGCAAUGAAAAUAACCAGCUAGCAGCAGUAAAUAAUAGUACAUGAAUGAAUUAAUUUUCCCAGCUAGCAGCACUGAAUAAUCACCUAGAGAUAAAAGUUUAACUCAGCCAGACGGUUUACUAAAGGAAAAAAAAAUAAAUCACUUAGCAAAGCGCAUCACUGCUUUUCUCCUUCCCUGGCUUCCCAGGGACGUUUUGUUCUGCCUUCCCCAGAGACCUCUCCAGCAGCUUGGUUUGCACACAGCGGAGGGGAAACCAAGAGCUAACUGCAUCUUUCUGCAGAGCCAGCAGUGAAGACCAAGUCUGCACAUACCUACUGUGGGAGUGGGUGUGUGUAAGGCAAAGAGAGGUCUCUAAUGAGGGAGAGGAGAGAGGAGAUCUUUUCCCAGAGUGUUUUUGCCUGAAGGAGAGGGAAAGGUUCCUGUUGCUCCUGCUGUUGUAUGGUAAUGCUGCUGUGCAGCACUGAGGCAUGCGAUAGUCUGGUUUCCAAGGAAAGGUGUGGACACUGGUUUUGACUCAGGUGCCUCUGAGAGCUGGAGGAGCAGCAAGUCAGAUCAAGCACAUGUUUUGCUGCUCUGUUUGCUUUUUUUUUUUUUCUUCUCCUUAAUGCCACUCACAUUAAAUCACCGACCCCAAUUGAUCCCUCUCUUCAUUCUCCUCUUUCAUCUUUUCCCCCACUCCUUUUCUGCUUCUCCUGCUUUUUUCAGCACCCGUUUUUCCACUGUUUUGUUGUGGUUUUGUUUUUACUGAAGUUGAGAAGGAGGAGCUGCCUGGUUCCUGCAGAGCGUCUGCAGAAGGGCUUCUGCAUGGGAGAAAGGACAACACGGUGGGGCAGGAGCACUCGUGCUGACCUGCGUAUCCACUCCCUCUCCUUUCACAGAUUUUCAUUCAGAAUUUAUAUUUUCCCUUGAUUCUU